GAUGAACGCUGGCGGCGUGCCUAAUACAUGCAAGUCGAGCGAACAGAUGAGGAGCUUGCUCCUCUGACGUUAGCGGCGGACGGGUGAGUAACACGUGGAUAACCUACCUAUAAGACUGGGAUAACUUCGGGAAACCGGAGCUAAUACCGGAUAAUAUAUUGAACCGCAUGGUUCAAUAGUGAAAGACGGUUUUGCUGUCACUUAUAGAUGGAUCCGCGCCGCAUUAGCUAGUUGGCAAGGUAACGGCUUACCAAGGCAACGAUGCGUAGCCGACCUGAGAGGGUGAUCGGCCACACUGGAACUGAGACACGGUCCAGACUCCUACGGGAGGCAGCAGUAGGGAAUCUUCCGCAAUGGGCGAAAGCCUGACGGAGCAACGCCGCGUGAGUGAUGAAGGUCUUCGGAUCGUAAAACUCUGUUAUUAGGGAAGAACAAAUGUGUAAGUAACUAUGCACGUCUUGACGGUACCUAAUCAGAAAGCCACGGCUAACUACGUGC
rnacentral:rRNA from 1 species